GUCCCCAAGGUUCAGGGGUUAAAGUGCCUCUGGUUCUUAUCAGUUUAAUAUCUGAUAUGUUCUCUAUUUAAGAACUAUAUAUAUUAAAUAGAUUUUUAGUGCUGGGAGACAGUAAAAGUAAAAAGAGCUCGCUCCAGCUUCUCCAUGCAUCGACCUGGUAUUGCAGUAUUUCCAGGAAUGGUGCCGGAGGA